ACCUUACCUAAUCUCCUAAACAUAGCCGCGAUCAAACCAAUUCUCAUCGUCUCCACGAAAGAUGCAGUCCACCUUUUCUGUCACACACAAGUAGCCCUAACCCUAGAAAACUUAGAUAAACCACGAUCAACCAAGAUUCUCGAUUAAGUUAAGGAAGAUCAUCAAGAAAGAAAAGAGAAAAUCCUACCAUUGCCACCUGAUCUCGGAUGGUACGCCACAGGAUCUUCGAAGGAGCAUGGAAGUGAAUGGGACCAUGAGACGGCUUGGUAUUCAUACGCUUACGGAGAGGCAGAUCUAUUCAAUGUGCACGGUGGCGAGCGUCCACCACUACCUCCUUUGCGCAAAUACCUGAUCCACGUCACCUGCUAAGCUUUCGCCUAUGUUGUCGGAGUAGCCGGAUGGUUUCCUAGAUAAACCAAUCUGGAAUCCAAAAGAUUCUGAGCAAUUAAGUGCGGUCAAGGAAGAGAAGGCUGGGAGCUUGUACGUUUGUGGAUGCCCAGGGACUGGAAAAUCGCUUUUCCAUGGAAAACGUGAAAAGGUCUAUGCUGUUUAGGCUAAAGAGACAGGAGGUCAAUUCCCAGACAUUUUGGGCAUAAACUGUACUUCUCUCUCAACUACUUCAGAAAUUUUCAACAAGAUACUUGGAAAGAGUCAACCACAUAGUCAACAACCGUUCUACUCCCUUAAGUCAAAUUCAGCAAUUAUAUUCUCAAAAGCAAUAGUCAUCUGGCACAAAAAUGAUGUUGGUUAUUGCUGAUGAAUUGGAUUACUUGAUUACAAAGGACCAGGUGGUGCUCCAUGAUCUAUUUAUGCUAACAACAUUGCCCUUUUCAAAAAUUAUAUUGAUAGAAAGUUGCAGCUUCAUCUGGAGAUAUGAGGAAAACUCUUGGUAUCUGCAGGAACUUUGACUGAAGGAUGUUUUUGGUGAUUGGAAUUGAUAGAGAGAUUGAGAAGGAAACAUGUUGCAUUUUCCUGCUGUAGAAUAUUUUCAGCCUUAAAGUUAAAAAUUUGAAGGCUCCCAUGGUUGGUAUUAACAAAUUGGAGGUUAGAUGAGAGAGACUUUGUUAUUGAGUGGCUUUAUUGUCACAUUUGGAACUUAAGAGCACCAGCUUUGUUCAUUUCUACCUUCAAUGUUGUAUGUAACUUCAUUGUCAUA